rnacentral:rRNA from 1 species
CCCAUCAGAAGGGGAUAACACUUGGAAACAGGUGCUAAUACCGUAUAACAAUCGAAACCGCAUGGUUUUGAUUUGAAAGGCGCUUUCGGGUGUCGCUGAUGGAUGGACCCGCGGUGCAUUAGCUAGUUGGUGAGGUAACGGCUCACCAAGGCCACGAUGCAUAGCCGACCUGAGAGGGUGAUCGGCCACAUUGGGACUGAGACACGGCCCAAACUCCUACGGGAGGCAGCAGUAGGGAAUCUUCGGCAAUGGACGAAAGUCUGACCGAGCAACGCCGCGUGAGUGAAGAAGGUUUUCGGAUCGUAAAACUCUGUUGUUAGAGAAGAACAAGGAUGAGAGUAACUGUUCAUCCCUUGACGGUAUCUAACCAGAAAGCCACGGCUAACUACGUGCCAGCAGCCGCGGUAAUACGUAGGUGGCAAGCGUUGUCCGGAUUUAUUGGGCGUAAAGCGAGCGCAGGCGGUUUCUUAAGUCUGAUGUGAAAGCCCCCGGCUCAACCGGGGAGGGUCAUUGGAAACUGGGAGACUUGAGUGCAGAAGAGGAGAGUGGAAUUCCAUGUGUAGCGGUGAAAUGCGUAGAUAUAUGGAGGAACACCAGUGGCGAAGGCGACUCUCUGGUCUGUAACUGACGCUGAGGCUCGAAAGCGUGGGGAGCAAACAGGAUUAGAUACCCUGGUAGUCCACGCCGUAAACGAUGAGUGCUAAGUGUUGGAGGGUUUCCGCCCUUCAGUGCUGCAGCUAACGCAUUAAGCACUCCGCCUGGGGAGUACGACCGCAAGGUUGAAACUCAAAGGAAUUGACGGGGGCCCGCACAAGCGGUGGAGCAUGUGGUUUAAUUCGAAGCAACGCGAAGAACCUUACCAGGUCUUGACAUCCUUUGACCACUCUAGAGAUAGAGCUUCCCCUUCGGGGGCAAAGUGACAGGUGGUGCAUGGUUGUCGUCAGCUCGUGUCGUGAGAUGUUGGGUUAAGUCCCGCAACGAGCGCAACCCUUAUUGUUAGUUGCCAUCAUUUAGUUGGGCACUCUAGCAAGACUGCCGGUGACAAACCGGAGGAAGGUGGGGAUGACGUCAAAUCAUCAUGCCCCUUAUGACCUGGGCUACACACGUGCUACAAUGGGAAGUACAACGAGUCGCGAAGUCGCGAGGCUAAGCUAAUCUCUUAAAGCUUCUCUCAGUUCGGAUUGUAGGCUGCAACUCGCCUACAUGAAGCCGGAAUCGCUAGUAAUCGCGGAUCAGCACGCCGCGGUGAAUACGUUCCCGG